rnacentral:rRNA from 1 species
UACAGAGGUCUCAAGCGUUUGUUCGGAUUCAUUGGGCGUAAAGGGUGCGUAGGUGGCGCCGUUAGUCAGGUGUGAAAUCUCGGGGCUUAACUCCGAAACUGCAUUUGAUACUGCGGUGCUUGAGGACUGGAGAGGAGACUGGAAUUUACGGUGUAGCAGUGAAAUGCGUAGAGAUGCGGAGGAACACCGAUGGCGAAGGCAGCCCCCUGGGGCUAGCACUGACGCUCAGGCACGAAAGCGUGGGGAGCAAACAGG